rnacentral:lncRNA from 1 species
UGACGUUGGGGUGGGGAGCUGUCUGCUCUGUCCUCUGGGGUCACAACCUCCAGGAUUUCAGAACUUUAAUUCUGAAACUCUGUUGACUCUCAGCAUAGCUUCAGGAACAAUUCGUGACCUCUUUGCUGCAGCCUGAGUCUAACGUUGAGGUGUGGCCUUAUGUUACCUCUCACCCCUGGAACCAGCCAGGCAGGGAAGAGACUCACUUCUGGGGAGGGCUCUUAAGGUACAGGCUGAAACUCUUCUUUCUUCAUUUCCCUGUCUGCCUGUUGGGUGCAGA